rnacentral:rRNA from 1 species
UACGUAGGGGGCAAGCGUUGUCCGGAUUUAUUGGGCGUAAAGAGCGUGUAGGCGGCUUUACAGGUCCGUUGUGAAAACUCGAGGCUCAACCUCGAGACGCCGGUGGAAACCGUAAGGCUAGAGUCCGGAAGAGGAGAGUGGAAUUCCUGGUGUAGCGGUGAAAUGCGCAGAUAUCAGGAGGAACACCCGUGGCGAAAGCGGCUCUCUGGGACGGUACUGACGCUGAGACGCGAAAGCGUGGGGAGGCAAACAGG